GGCGAGAUAGCUCAGUUGGUAAGAGCGCAGGAUUCAUAACCCUGAGGUCGCGGGUUCGAAUCCCGCUCUCGCCA
rnacentral:tRNA from 1 species